rfam:Schistosoma mattheei strain Denwood, Zambia genome assembly, scaffold: SMTD_scaffold0003477
AUCCAGCUGACGAGUCCCAAAUAGGAGGGACGGCACGUCCUGGAU